UUAACUCUUACUUCAUGUCAAUGAUUUCACACAUAAAAUGCGUGAAAUAUACAGGAGCCUAUUCCGCAUCUGUUUUAAUUCUGCUGUUUUCGAGGUAUCGUUUGUCAUAUGACUAUAUAAGUUAAAGGAACUUGCUGGAUUUCAAGUUUUCUUGAAAAUAAUGCUGUUACUUGAUCGUCCAAUUGAAUCCUUAUAAUUCCUUAUGUUCAUAGUACCGGCGUCGUACAGUCUCAUUCAACCCGAGCUUCUAUAGAUUUAAACAGUUUUUCUUUUUUCUUUUCGACGAAAAACUGCCAAGUGAGCAAAUUCGAAAUUCUGAUCUGAACGAGAUCCGACUCCGACCCGAAUAUUUAUUUUUGUAUUAGGUUUUAUUAGGUUAUUUUAUUAGGUUUUUUAGGUUUUGUAUUAGGUGUCUCCUCUUCACUUGGGGUCAUUAUACCUUCGCAUGCUUUUACUCUUGCUUUUACUCUAAAGAUUCUGUAACUACUAUAUCUCCAACAAGAUCAUGUUUUACCCGUUUUUCACCAGCUAAAGAAAAGUAACGCCGAGGACGACUUUUGAAUAAGUCGCUGUCCGGUUUUUUACUAUUAUUCCCAAUGAUAUACGUUCAAAUUUGUUUCUUCUUUAGCCGCCGCGGAAUUCUUUUGAAAUGAAGGACAGGGGAGAGUGGGAUCCCCGUGAAUUGAUUCUUGGUCAACUUUGGCUUGGCCUUUUGAAAUUUUAUGCUUACACUUUCACUCAUAUAAUGAGCAUGCCGUCCGCGUUCGCUCUAUUGAGCCGUUGCUGCGGUUGACCAAGAAUUGGGGCAAUCGACGUAUUGCUGUCGAGGAUCCGUUUCUUGGGAAUGUCAAUAUGGGGGCAUUUAUGUCGGCUAUCCAAACCUUCGAGUUCUUUAUUGAAUGCAUACCCAAUAUAUUUCACUAAAUUGUUGGAUUCCUCAAACUGCCGACGGACCCCCUUUCGUCCAUCUUGUACUGCCCGGCAAAAUAAAAAAUGAUGAUCCACUGCAAUGUACUCCGGCAGUAUGAUUCGCGUUUGAAUCAGACGUGUUGGUUAAAUUCUCUUGUUGAGAACUAUUUUCAGAAUAACAUUGGCCGUUGGAAGAUGAAAGGUGUGCGAUGCAAUCCGCAAAUAAAACCUAAUAUCUAAUAAUUUAACAUUAGUGAAUGAUUUAUUCUUUGAAAAAAAAAAAUAAUAAUUUUUUGCCACCAAGAGUCCAGAUUGAGCGCUGAUGGCAACAUUAUUGUCGCCUACCACUGUCACGUGACCCACAAGCCAUUCGUCCUUAAAAUUUGUUUAAAGGAUCUAUUUAUUCAUAUUUUUUCAAGUGAAAACGCCAGCAGUAUCCAUAUGACGAAGACGCAGAAAGCAUGGUAGAUGAAACAUACUCUUGCAUAUUGCUAAAUUACAAAAUAAACGAUCCGUGAUAGCCAAGAACCCAAGAUAGCCAAUCAAAUUUCAUCUUUCAAAUGAACAUUCCUUCAUCUUCAACUCGAUUCCAUAUCGGGUCGUAAGAAAUAUAGUGUCACCAGAUUUCUCCAGAUGACACCAAUCACAUGUGACAUGAUGCCCAAGGCUCCGCCAAGCACCUUCCGGGUGUUUUUAUUGUUCAAUAUGAUAAGAUUGUCACGGAUGUCACUAUAUACGUUUGCUGCUGAUGUUGCGUCAUCUUUGUAACGGCGUCGUAGGUGCACAGACGUCUAAGAAAAUAAGUUUAAGCCACGUUCACCUUGAUUCCCAGCCAGCUCUACCACGAACUUGAACUGUGACCAGCCACAGCCACCUCGUGGAAUAAGCAACAACGACGAGCGUUCGUCCAUUUCCAGCAGUCUUUCGGUCAGCCGAGAGCCAUUUCUCAUCAAAUACUCUUGGAUUCUUAUAUCGUGCAAAAAAUAUUUAAAUGCUCCCUCAGCUUAAAAAAAUUUAAAAAUAAAAAUAAAGUGUAACUGUAUAUUGUAAUAUGAUGUCCACAGAUUAUAAAACAACCCCUGCUGCCCAGCCAACUGGCAGGAGAAUCACUAUACCGGAUGAUGUUCCAGCGAGAUACCGAAGCAGGACGCUAACAGUUAAACUGCCUGACUAUUUGAAGCCCUUCUCGUUCGUCCAGCUGGCCCAUAAAACGACCAAGAAGAAAGAGGAAACUGAGCAGCGAUCUCCGCCCAUGUUGUAAACUACGCGAAGCCGUCGGCAGAGCUGGCGAGGAGAGCGACGGAAUAAGUGAUGAAACGGGCAACGCUACAUCGCUGCUCUGACGGAUCGCGCCACUUACGCCCGGUCGCUGGGUUUCCCACGAGCCGUUCCUGGAAUACGUGUCUCAUUUAGAAGAAUUCAGCUGAAGUGCAAGAGCGAUUUAAUCGUAGUUUGCCCGUGACGUUGCGCAUUCACAGUUUCACUGCAUUUUCCAACCGCGCUGUUUGAAGUUGGCCCGUGUCGUUGGUCAGAAAUAAGCCGUGGAUUAAUAUUUUUACUACUAACUCUUAUGUUCAGUACGGUACGUUUCUCACCAUUUUGUUUUGUAAUCAAGAAUUCCACUUAAAUCGUGGCUGUUUCUUAGAACAAAGAAUAAUAUUACUUGGAGAAAAAUUUGAAAUGUAUUUUUUA